rnacentral:lncRNA from 1 species
CCUCUCAAUAGCACCGGCAUGCACGCAAAUUAAAUUGAUGCACGUCGACAUCUCUUGUUUAAUAGAAUGCAGCAUAUAUUCAUAGUAGUUACUCUGAUUUAUCAGAGAAAACCGCUGAAUCAUUGGUUACAAGUAGUAACCUUUACAUUCUCAUAACCUUUACAGUCUUGGAGAAUCAUCAAGAAUAUAGACCUUCUAGAGAUGUUAGUUUAAUCAUAGUUAUUUCGGAAACAAGUUAUUAUGAGUUAAAUUACUAGUAAUCAUACCCCUUUCUACUUUUAUUGUGCGAGUGCUGCCUUGUAGCGCCAUUAGCCUGCUCUUUUUUUGAAGCUAACAAGUUGUCUUUUACGUGCAAGUGGUAUGGCUCUCUUUUAACACGUGAUCAGUCGCGUAUCCUUCCGACAGACUAUCGUUGUUCCAGAAGAUAAUACUCGCAAAUGGUGUGAAUGAAGAGCCGAAAAUUUGGUCCCUGAAAUUGUCUCCCAGAAACGGAGAUGGAACCACGAACCUUUGUGUUUGAAAAUAGAGGUUGUGACUCCAUGUCUUAUUGUUUGAACCAAGAAAUAAAUGACUGAGAAUACCUUUCCAUUCCUCCAAGAGAUCAUUUACAUCACCCCAAUUAUACGAUUAUAGAUGCGAUACGCGGUAUUCAGAAGUUCGGGAACCCUGUUUUUCCUCAUUGUUAAAAUUCUGGAAUUGGUAAUCACGCGGAACUGACCCUGCUGUAUAAUUAGUAUGUCUGCAUACAAGUUACACUUCACCUUAUUAUCUUUCAUAUUUCUUAUAAGUUGCGGCCACAUGUCCUAAGUCGGUCUCUGUUUGGUGGUGUUUUUGUUGGUUAAGAGAUCAUCUAAAGUACCAAUCACGCAAGUGCGAAUAUAUUUGGCUUUAAAGUAUUAGUUCAUCUUCCCCAUCAUGGUAUGAUCUCAGUGAUCGAGAAAAACUCGAGUUUCCUCAAAUCUUACGGGAUCGAUAGAGUAGACAUCAACGCAGUGUAUUAUACAUAGUACUUUGAUCUCUUUGUUGUUGAAUUCGGUAAUCUUUUCCGUCCAUAGUUUUAUGAAAAUGCUUGACUUGAAUAUGGAAUGAAAAGCAACCUGGAUCAUCACAACUUCUUGGUCUUGGGCGGCACUUAGUCAUAUUGGCAAGUAAAACAUAAAUGAUGCGAAGAAUAAACGUGAAUUCUUUAUUCUGUUGAAACAGAACUGUAAUCCAAGUUUCACUCAAACGAACAACGAUCAAGCAUCGUUUCUCGAAUUUACGUCGAAAUAUUUUAUCCGUUUAACAAACUUUUCUAUAGAGACACCUAGACCGAUUUGUACUUUUGUGAAGAUGAGGUUUGUUAAACGGCUGACUAGAUGAAGUCGGUUAUAUAGUGCAUAGUUAACAACCUAUGUUCUUUAACUCACAUAGUUGCGAGUCGUUGUAUUCUUAUGUUGAGCAUCGACUGCUUAUUUGCAAUAGGCGAGUGACUUAUUUCAAAAAGACGCUUAGUUAACAACCCUAAUGGACCCAUCUUACGCACGGCUGUAUUAUAUAUACACAUGGAAAAAAGUAUUGCAGCACCUUGAUUUUUUAAAACUUGAAAAAUCAGCCUCUUUUUUUGGAUGAAAUAUAAUAAAAUAUGUGUAGGAUAUUAUUGAAACAUAGUUUAUGAUAACAUUGGCAACCACAAUUUUAAUAACAAAAUGUAGUGUUUUUUGUACAAAAAAUGCAUUUUUCAACUUUUACUGUAGUCGAACUUUACAAUGUCAGGUAUUUCAAAAUUAAUCUUCAGAUGACUGUUCGCAUCAUGGUUGGUCGUUAUACGCCAAAGAAUUAGUACUUUGUGCGCAGCCUCCAAUCAAACGAAUUACCGCAUCUCAACGUCUUUUGAUUCCUGCCAUGAAUCGGCUAAUAAAGUAAUGUAAAGGUAGCAGCAACCAUUUCUGAUGAAGGGCAUUGUUUAUUUCAUGAUGUGUUUGAACUGGUGUGUCCUUUUGUGCACUUUCCGCCCAAUAGUGUCCCAAAUAUGCUCGAUAUGGUUCAAAUCCGGGCUACGAUCUGGCCAAGGAAGAUGAACCGAAUUCCAUUUGAACAUUGGAUCUUCCUCCAAGAUGCUAAUUUCCAAUUUUGGCGAGCUCUGCACUACAUUUGAUACGGAUAACUGUGUGUCUGUUCGUAAGCAAACGUCCCUGAAAUGGUCUUAUCGCACAAUAACCAGUAGAGAUGAUUCAAUCUCGAACAAUUAUUGUUAAAAGGCUCCUGUAUGCCCACCUCUCUCUUUUCAGGAUUGUAUUGUAUGCAAUGGGUUUCUUUCUGACUAAGCUUCAUCAUGCUUGAUUUUCCCUAGCAGGUGGCAUAGGGGGUCUUUUUGGUCUCGGAUAGUCUUUUAUAUCGUGUAUUGCCUAAUUUUUAUUCUCUAAACGACUUAUAGUGGAAAAGUGAUGAACGACAAUACGUGCAAUUGUCACAGCGACAUUCCUGCCUCUCUCAUGCUGAUAAUCUGCCAUCUUGCUGCUGUUAUGAGUUGUGGAGGACCUAUUUCAAGGUGUCAAUCACAUAACUUUAUAAACUUGGUUAUUUAAAGUGUUGAAAACAAUGAGGAUGAAACACAUGUUUUGCUGUGUACGGGUACAGGAGCUGCAUGUGCAGAUAAGAACUUAUCGAGUCGAUAAUUAUUGAUCAAACUCAGGUGAUAUUUAAAUAGUGUUUAACUAGUUCUAUUUUAACAAAUU